UACGAAGGAUGCGAGCGUUAUCCGGAUUUAUUGGGUUUAAAGGGAGCGUAGGCGGUCUUAUAAGUCAGUGGUGAAAUCUUAUCGCUUAACGAUAAACGUGCCAUUGAUACUGUAGGACUUGAGUACAGAUGCCGUUGGCGGAAUGUGUCAUGUAGCGGUGAAAUGCAUAGAUAUGACACAGAACACCGAUUGCGAAGGCAGCUGACGAAACUGUAACUGACGCUGAGGCUCGAAAGCGUGGGGAU
rnacentral:rRNA from 1 species